rnacentral:rRNA from 1 species
CUAAGUUCCUUGGAACAGGACGUCAUAGAGGGUGAGAAUCCCGUAUGUGACUGGCGCCCAACCCCAUGAGAAACCCUUUCGGAGAGUAGAGUUGUUUGAGAACACAUCUCAAAAUGGGGUAAAAAUUUCAUAUAAAGCUAAAUCCCGCACAGACCGAUAUAGCGCACAAGGAGAGUGAUCGAGAGAUGAAAAGCUUUUGGGAAAGAGACAAAAAAAGUACGAAAAAUUGUAAAAAGAAAAGCUCUCACCCACACCCCUCCCUGUGCGAUCUCACCCUCUUUUCUCAGCGGUGUUCUCGCGUGCUCUCAGCCCAGCAUCGGUUUAGGCGGGGGCAAAAGCCCCUCGGGAAUGUAGCUUCUUCGGGAGUGUUAUAGCUUUUGGUGCAAUGCGACCAGCCUGGACCGAGGACCGCGCUCGGCUAGGAUGCUGGCGUAAUGGUCGUAAGCGACCCGUCUUGAAACACGGACCAAGGAGUCUAACAUCUAUGCGAGUGUUUGGGUGUCAAACCCAUGCGCGGAAUGAAAGUGAACGGAGGUGGGAACCC